GAAAGGUCUGAAAUGUGUGGGGAGCUGUGUCUGGGCUCGCUGGCAUUCCAGCUGUCCCGGCUCCCCACUGCCAGCUGGAGAACAAAAGCACCAUGGGGGUGCGUGGGAAGGAUUUGGUAGCACAGGAGAAGGGAAAGAGGCUGAGCUGACCUGGAUGACUUAGGACUUUAGAAGCAGUAUGUUUACAGCAAAACUUUGCCUCCUGGGUAGUGGCUUGAGCACUGUGAGAGCUAAAUCUGAAAACAAGAACCACAAGUAAGCAGCUGAAAUUGCCUGACUGGAUGCCAGCACACAUGAACUACUAAAUGGUUCUUGCAUCUUAUUUUAUGGUCUGACCUCUGUUUUGAAAUAAACUGCCUACUAAACAAAAUAAGUUCCCUUGAUUUUCUGAUGACAUAUAUAUGUG